UUAGUUUUUAAACUCACAUUUAGUUAACUGAAGUGCUUUAGGUAAAGGAUGUAAUUCUUUAUUUUUCUUUCUAGCUGUUGCUGUGUUGGACACUUGCUCCCAUCAAUUUUCUUCUCUAGAAUCCACUGCGCUGGAAUGAAUAAUUUUUUUUGGAAGCAGAGGUGGAGCCACUGAGGAAGCACAGGCAAGCCCUCCCCAGCGUGUACUCACUGGUCCCCAACAGAAGAACAGCUGCCGCAUCCACUGAGGCUUCCAUUGUGGUGGGUUGUGUCACCCCACAAUGUCACUGUUGCUGAGUCCCCAUCGCCUCUGUGUUGUGGAGCAGUUAGAGACACACAGC
rnacentral:lncRNA from 1 species